rnacentral:rRNA from 1 species
UUGCCCCAGUAACGGCGAGUGAAGCGGCAAGAGCUCAGAUUUGAAAUCCGGCGCCCCCCGGGGCGCCCGAGUUGUAAUCUGCAGAGGGACCUCCUGGCGCGGCGCCGUCCGAGUUCCCUGGAACGGGACGCCUCAGAGGGUGAGAGCCCCGUACGGUCGGACGCCCAGCCUGUGUGGAGCCCCUUCGGCGAGUCGAGUAGUUUGGGAAUGCUGCUCAAAACGGGAGGUAUACGCCUUCUAAAGCUAAAUACCGGCCAGAGACCGAUAGCGCACAAGUAGAGUGAUCGAAAGAUGAAAAGCACUUUGAAAAGAGGGUUAAACAGUACGUGAAAUUGUUGAAAGGGAAGCGCUCGCGGCCAGACUCGGGCCCGGCGGAUCAUCCGGCGCUCGCGCCGGUGCACUCCGCCGGGCUCCGGGCCAGCAUCGGCCCGCGGCGGGGGACAAAGGCGCCGGGAACGUGGCUCCCCAGGGAGUGUUAUAGCCCGGCGCGCAACGCCCCGCGGCGGGCCGAGGUUCGCGCGUCCGCAAGGAUGCUGGCGUAAUGGCCACCAGCGACCCGUCUUGAAACACGGACCAAGGAGUCGUCUUCGCAUGCGAGUGUUCGGGCGUCAAACCCGUGCGCGCAAUGAAAGUGAACGCCGGUGGGAGCCCCCCGCGGGGCGCACCGCCGACCGAUCCUGAAGUUCACGGAUGGAUUUGAGUAGGAGCAUGCGGGGCCGGACCCGAAAGAAGGUGAACUAUGCCUGUGUAGGGUGAAGCCAGAGGAAACUCUGGUGGAGGCUCGCAGCGGUUCUGACGUGCAAAUCGAUCGUCAAACAUGGGCAUGGGGGCGAAAGACUAAU